rnacentral:rRNA from 1 species
CCUACGGGUGGCAGCAGUGGGGAAUCUUGGGCAAUGGGCGCAAGCCUGACCCAGCAACGCCGCGUGAAGGAAGAAGGCUUUCGGGUUGUAAACUUCUUUUCUCAGGGACGCAGAAAGUGACGGUACCUGAGGAAUAAGCCACGGCUAACUACGUGCCAGCAGCCGCGGUAAUACGUAGGUGGCAAGCAUUAUCCGGAUUUACUGGGUGUAAAGGGUGUGUAGGCGGGACUGCAAGUCAGAUGUGAAAACCACGGGCUCAACCUGUGGCCUGCAUUUGAAACUGUAGUUCUUGAGUACUGGAGAGGCAGACGGAAUUCCUAGUGUAGCGGUGAAAUGCGUAGAUAUUAGGAGGAACACCAGUGGCGAAGGCGGUCUGCUGGACAGCAACUGACGCUGAGGCGCGAAAGCGUGGGGAGCAAACAGGAGUAGAUACCCGUGUAGUC